rnacentral:sRNA from 1 species
AUUCUGCCCAUGCGGGGAAGGAUGAGAAGCUUCGACCAAGGUUCGACUCGAGCGCCAGCGAGAGAGCGUUGCCGCAGGCAACGACCCGAAGGGCGAAGC